UUAUUAAUGGUCAUUAGGAAUCAAGGAAUAAAGAGGAUACAAAAUAAAGACCACAUGCCCAUGGCUGAUUAGCCCAUUUCAAAAUCCCCACUCAACACCAUCAUCAUGCUGACGGGAAGCCAAAGAGAGAGGAUGACCCUUCAUGUUCUUGCCUAAUAUCCCUUGUCUACAGGAAGUAUGUGAUGACAGGAAGUCAGUGGGCUUCCAGAAAAUGUAGUUCUUUUUUAGGGUAACAGAUUUUCAAUUAUACAGUUCCCUGAACAGUUUAUGUUAACUCUUUAGAAUCAUGGACUCAGAAUGGAAAAGAACUUGAGACCAUCUAGUCCAACAAAGACCUGGCUAUCAGUGCCUUCUAUACCUUGCCAAUAAGUGAGCAUUCUACCUUUUCCUGAAGACCUUCAGGGAAGGAUUCUUCACUAUUAGAAGAAACAGUUCCUUUCACUUUUCUUUAGUUCUAAUUGUUGCUUCAUCAGGGAAGUCAUUGUUUCUAACAAAGAAGGUGAUGUGUCUUUAGUAAAUAUCAUAGGAGAUGUCCUGAUAAUUGUUGUGGCCAAAAAGGAUGCAUGUCCUAGUGGUCAUCCUUCUGGUGAUGAACUCUGCUCAACUGAUCAAGUGGCACCCAGACCUGAACACACUCCUCAAGAUAGGGUCUGA
rnacentral:lncRNA from 1 species